AGUGAACGCUGGCGGUAGGCCUAACGCAUGCAAGUCGAACGGCAGCACAGUAAGAGCUUGCUCUUACGGGUGGCGAGUGGCGGACGGGUGAGGAAUACAUCGGAAUCUACUUUUUCGUGGGGGAUAACGUAGGGAAACUUACGCUAAUACCGCAUACGACCUACGGGUGAAAGCAGGGGAUCUUCGGACCUUGCGCGAUUGAAUGAGCCGAUGUCGGAUUAGCUAGUUGGCGGGGUAAAGGCCCACCAAGGCGACGAUCCGUAGCUGGUCUGAGAGGAUGAUCAGCCACACUGGAACUGAGACACGGUCCAGACUCCUACGGGAGGCAGCAGUGGGGAAUAUUGGACAAUGGGAGCAAGCCUGAUCCAGCCAUACCGCGUGGGUGAAGAAGGCCUUCGGGUUGUAAAGCCCUUUUGUUGGGAAAGAAAAGCAGCAGGUUAAUACCCCGCUGUUCUGACGGUACCCAAAGAAUAAGCACCGGCUAACUUCGUG
rnacentral:rRNA from 1 species